GAAGCCUACGGGGGGCAGCAGUGGGGAAUAUUGGGCAAUGGAGGAAACUCUGACCCAGCAAUGCCGCGUGAAUGAAGAAGGUCUUCGGAUUGUAAAGUUCUUUAGUCAGGGAAGAAGUCAAUGACGGUACCUGUAGAAUAAGCUCCGGCUAACUACGUGCCAGCAGCCGCGGUAAUACGUAGGGAGCAAGCGUUAUCCGGAUUUAUUGGGUGUAAAGGGUGCGUAGACGGAGAAGCAAGUUAGUUGUGAAAUCCCUCGGCUUAACUGAGGAACUGCAACUAAAACUACUUCCCUUGAGUACUGGA
rnacentral:rRNA from 1 species